AUUGAACGCUGGCGGCAUGCCUUACACAUGCAAGUCGAACGGCAGCACGGGAGCAAUCCUGGUGGCGAGUGGCGAACGGGUGAGUAAUACAUCGGAACGUGCCCAAUCGUGGGGGAUAACGCAGCGAAAGCUGUGCUAAUACCGCAUACGAUCUACGGAUGAAAGCAGGGGAUCGCAAGACCUUGCGCGAAUGGAGCGGCCGAUGGCAGAUUAGGUAGUUGGUGAGGUAAAGGCUCACCAAGCCGUCGAUCUGUAGCUGGUCUGAGAGGACGACCAGCCACACUGGGACUGAGACACGGCCCAGACUCCUACGGGAGGCAGCAGUGGGGAAUUUUGGACAAUAGGCGAAAGCCUGAUCCAGCCAUGCCGCGUGCAGGAUGAAGGCCUUCGGGUUGUAAACUGCUUUUGUACGGAACGAAACGGCCUUUUCUAAUAAAGAGGGCUAAUGACGGUACCGUAAGAAUAAGCACCGGCUAACUACGUGCCAGCAGCCGCGGUAAUACGUAGGGUGCAAGCGUUAAUCGGAAUUACUGGGCGUAAAGCGUGCGCAGGCGGUUAUGUAAGACAGUUGUGAAAUCCCCGGGCUCAACCUGGGAACUGCAUCUGUGACUGCAUAGCUAGAGUACGGUAGAGGGGGAUGGAAUUCCGCGUGUAGCGGUGAAAUGCGUAGAUAUGCGGAGGAACACCGAUGGCGAAGGCAAUCCCCUGGACCUGUACUGGCGCUCAUGCACGAAAGCGUGGGGAGCAAACAGG
rnacentral:rRNA from 1 species